AGGGCGGACAGGCUCUUGGCUGGAACAGUGGCUUGAUCACAGCACGCUUGAUGGGCGCGGGAUCGCUGGAAUCGGGGAAGAAGGUCGUCCGGGAUGCGGAAGGAUGAAUGCGAGACACACGUGGAUGGCCAGAGGAGGCUGGGACGGGCUGGAUCUCUGCAUGCAUCAUGGGAUCUUGGACACGGAAGGAGGGAGGAGCUGCAGACGGGCGCCGAUUCGGAAGGAGGACGGCGUGAUUGCUGGGGUGCCGGAUGAAGAAGAUCCCGGUUUGCUGAUUUGGGAAGGAAGAAGACGCUGCGGGAUGAGCUGGAAACGUUGGUUGGAGACGCGUGGAUCACUGGAGAGGCGGACGUCGGUUGCUGGCUAGCGGGCUGAGGCGGAGGCUGCCGUGGGAUCGUCCGGCUUGGAUCACGGGAGAGGGGCUGGAGCUCACUUGGAAAGCGCCGCGAGACCACUGCUAGCAUCACGGGAGGAAAGAGCUGGCUCGGGAGCUCUCGAUAUGGAGGAGGCCGGACAGGAUGAGUGGCUGUGAGCCGCUGGGAGUAGCGUUGAAGACGCGGAAUGGAAGAGACGCACGUGGGAUGAGGCGGAGGAGCUGCAGAUCUGGAAAGAGUUGGAGGUGUCGUGGACGGCGGAUGGUGGCGUGAUCACGCCUUGCUGGAACGUUGAAUUGGUCAUGUGCCAGUUUCUGCAAUGGACUUAGAUUUUGGAAGAAGGUCUGGGACUUUCUUUGCCCUCCUGAGAUGAGAGCUGGGAGAUGCCAAGUUCCGUCCAAUUAGUCAUAUAGAUAAAAAAAAUAGUGUGAUAUGAAAUUUGGCUUGUAGACGGACGGACUGAGUUCGUCACGGGUCAUCUAUUCUGACUGGAGGUUAAGUGCAAGUCUUUCAAGUCAUGGGUCACCCAGCACCUCAUAGUUAUGAUAUGGCCAAAUUAGAUUUGCCCAAAAUUCCUUCCCAAAAACACAAAGAAAAUGGACUUGAUUCGGACCCGAACCUGACUCGGACCCGACCCGAUCUUCAACCGGAUCGGAUCUGGGAAGGGAUCCUUUUGAAGUCAAAUUUGUACUCAAUGUGCAUUUUAUCUCUAAUUUAUGAUAAUCUGUAUCAACCCCAAAUAUAAUAUUAAUCCAGUGAAUUUAUCAUUAUCGGUUAGCAAUAACACUAAUUUUAGUGACAUGUAGGUUGCACUUUUGUGCUCUCAUCACAGCAUAAAUCUGGCACUUUCAUCUCAAACAUGUUAUUUUGUUGAGGCCUUGAAGAUUUGCAUGAUGACAUCAACCUUAUCUGUUACCAAACUUUUCUAUUCUUUUCCGUCAGUAGAGGUUCCUACAUUAGAUAAUAUUUCUCUCAAUAUCAUUUUGGAUCUCUGAUAAAGAAUUGCCACAGUUAAGGACAGCCAUGAAGACAACUUGCACAAUGAUUUAUCAGGGACAUGCAUCUUGUGAACCAUUCUUAAGUUGCAUGCUGAUAAGUACCUUACCUUGUAUGAAUGUCCUCAUGUGAUUUUUUUUUUUCUUUUCAGUCUAAGGAGAUAAUUGAUUAUGCUGCAUGCUCCAUUAACACAGUA
rnacentral:lncRNA from 1 species